rnacentral:lncRNA from 1 species
GACAGUGACUCUCCCAAAUGAGGGAGUUAGUGAAUUAGAUGAGUGAGUGAGUGAAAAACUGUGUGAACUCGUACCUCAGUUUGUCUUUCUGUAGACAGUGACUCCUCCAAAGGAGUGAGUGAGUGAAUUAGAUGAGUAACACAGAACGUGUACCUCAGUUUUACUUUCUGUAGAGACAGACUUCGCCAAAGGAGAUGAGUGAGUGAGUGAGGGAAUGAGUGAAUGAUUUGAUGAGUGAGUGAAAAACAGUGUGAACUCGUACCUCAGUUUUACUUUCUGUAGACAGUGACUCUCCCAAAGGAGGGAGUAGUUAGUGAAUUAGAUGAGUGAGUGAGUGAGUGAGUAACAGUGUGAACUCGUACCUCAGAGCUCAGCUUUACUCGCUAUUAUAAUAACGCGGACAGCGAUGAGCUGAGUCGUUCUUUCGCUCUGAACCGCGAAACUCCGCUAGAAAUGUUGCCCGCCGUGACAAACAGGAGCCUCGACUUGUGGCAGGAGGGGAACAGCAGCACUUCUGAGACUCCAGACCCGAACCGGACCUUCCAAACGUGGAUCCCCCUACGGAGAGGACUAGUGGCAUUAUCCCAGGUGAGUGCCACCAGCGUUGUGUUCUGGCUGCAUUGCAGAGGAUUUGUCUCCAAAAUGA